CAGUCGCCACGGUAAUACGGAGGGUGCAAGCGUUAAUCGGAAUUACUGGGCGUAAAGCGUGCGCAGGCGGUUUGUUAAGACAGAUGUGAAAUCCCCGGGCUUAACCUGGGAACUGCAUUUGUGACUGGCAAGCUAGAGUCUGGCAGAGGGGGGUGGAAUUCCGCGUGUAGCAGUGAAAUGCGCAGAUAUGCGGAGGAACACCGAUGGCGAAGGCAGCCCCCUGGGCCAACACUGACGCUCAUGCACGAAAGCGUGGGGAGCAAACAGGAUUAGAUACCCCUGUAGUCCCUGUCUCUUAUAC
rnacentral:rRNA from 1 species